GGGCAAGCCAACCACAGAAAAGCCAUCUCAGUUCGGAUUGCAGUCUGCAACUCGACUGCACGAAGCUGGAAUCGCUAGUAAUCGCGGAUCAGCAUGUCGCGGUGAAUACGUUCCCGGGCCUUGUACACACCGCCCGUCACACCAUGAGAGUCGGGAACACCCGAAGUCCGUAGUCUAACCGCAAGGGGGGCGCGGCCGAAGGUGGGUCCGGUAAUUGGGGUGAAGUCGUAACAAGGUAUC
rnacentral:rRNA from 1 species